GUGGGAGAGUAACGCGUGGAUAUCCUGCCCCUAGACCCGGGAUAAGCUGUGAGAAAACUGCAAGUAAUACCGGAUAAUGUCNCCCGGACCCAAAGGUGGUGAUUCCGUCUUAGGGAUGAGUCCGGCGUCUUACUAGCUUGUUGGUGGGGUAAAUGGCCUACCAAGGGCAAUGAUGGGUAGCGGGGUGUGAGGGGCAUGGCCCGUCCUCACUGGGACUGAGAACACUCCCCAGACACCUACGGGGUGGCUGCAGUCGAGAAAUCUUCCGCAAUGGACGAAAGUCUGACGGAGCGACGCCGCGUGCGGGAUGAAGGCCCUCGGGGUUGUAAACCGCUGUCAGUUGGGAGGAAAUGCAUAAGGGUACUCUCUUAUGUUUGACCGAUCUUCAGAGGAAGUCCGGGCUAAGUUCGUGCCAGCAGCCGCGGUAAGACGAACCGGACGAACGUUAUUCGGAAUCACUGGGCUUAAAGAGUGCGUAGGCGGCUUGGUAGGUUGGGUGUGAAAUCCCACAGCUCAACUGUGGAACUGCGCUCAAAACCACCAAGCUUGAGGAAGGCAGAGGUGAGCGGAACUGAUGGUGGAGCGGUGAAAUGCGUUGAUAUCAUCAGGAACACCGGUGGCGAAGGCGGCUCACUGGGCCUUUUCUGACGCUGAGGCACGAAAGCUAGGGUAGCGAACAGGAUUAGAUACCCUGGUAGUCCUAGCUGUA
rnacentral:rRNA from 1 species